AACAACAACUUAUCUCUUAAUUUUUUUCAAUCCCUCUCUUACUCAAUGAAGUGGCAGAAUGACCUCAGAGCAGGCUCAUGUUACUGGCAUCAGGUAGCCAGCACCUGCCAGCCACAACCUGCUCCAGGAACAGUGGUAGGUAGGAGAUUUGACCGAGGAAGUACUAUACCCAUUAAAACAUUAUCGCAAGUAUCCUAAAGUGAGGUCAAGGAGCACAGAAACCUCCUGUGGAGCAAAAGGCCACUAUCUUAGCUUAUGAAAACUCAUUAUGAAUAUAGAUAUUGAAAGUGGCAAUCCUUUUGGCUUUUGGAAAUUUAAGUAGAAAGUGUCAAAAAGUUACCACAGGUAUACUGUAACUAGCUUUUGGAAGCCAAGCAUUCGUAGAAGCAUUACAUUUUGAUCCUUCAAUGUCGGGUGUUUGAAUUAUUCUUCAACAAGACUUCACCUUCCGUUCAAACAUUGGCUUGUUCAACCGCUAAUAGGGGGAGUGAUCUGUGCUGAGACUGUUGCAAGGCAAACAGGAGUUGAGCAUGGGUCAGUUGGUAUUAC
rnacentral:ncRNA from 1 species